UACGAAGGGGGCGAGCGUUGUUCGGAUUUACUGGGUGUAAAGCGCGUGUAGGCGGCAGACCAAGUCGGCGGUGAAAGCGCCCGGCUCAACUGAGCGAGGUCCGUGGAAACUGGUCAGCUGGAGGACGGUAGAGGCGAGUGGAAUUCCCGGUGUAGUGGUGAAAUGCGUAGAGAUCGGGAGGAACACCUGUGGCGAAGGCGGCUCGCUGGGCCGGUCCUGACGCUGAGACGCGAAGGCGUGGGGAGCGAACGGG
rnacentral:rRNA from 1 species